UUGUUAAUAAUUUAACGAAAUUUGUUUAUUUAAAAUCGCGAAUAAAAGGUAAAAGUUGUCGUGAAAGGUGAAAAAACAGAUGUAGUUACAAUAUUGGGAAAGAGUUGGAGUAAUCGAAAUACUUAUACUUGGAUAAAUCUGUUUAUAAUUCAGAAAGUUUUGACGAUUCUGACAUUGCAAAUUCUUCAUUUCAUUCCUAAAAAUUGAUGUUUAUUACUGUAGAAUCAGUAUUUUGGAGGGUAAAAUAUAAUAAAAAGUUGAUUCUGCUGGUGAAUUUCUGCAUUUCCAACAUUGCAAAGCUUGCAAAGUGAAGAAUUUUGGAAUUUUGGAAUUUGAGGUUAAAACGUGGUCGUCGAGAAGCACAGGACAUCGUCAUAGUAGGUCUUUUAAACUUGAAUCAAUUUCGCAACAUCGUUUUUUAAAGUAAGUGACUCAAAAUUAUUGAUAUAGGAGACGAAUUAUAGAUCUGGAAAUAGUGAGUGAAUCGCAAGUAUAUAAAAA